CAAUGCCCACAGUGGAGGUGAAUGACCCCGGGAUGAACUUGCCCUGGUCAAACUGAACCAGCAGAGAGGUCUUGCCCACGCCGUUGUCUCCCACCAGGAUGGUCUGCAGAUUGAGACACACACACACACACACACGCGCAUGCAGGAGACGUCAUGUUCUGCAGCCUCGCGCCGUUUUAAUCGCCCGAGGCCGCAGCGCUGUGUGGGCAUGAGGAGCGGGUUAUUGUACGAGUUCAUCAUGUGUUGCUCAGCGCCGCUGUCUGAUGCUUUGCGACAGCUGGAGGUUGGCUCGGUGUCUUCAGGAGGGAAGGUCGGCGUCGACGCGAAGGCUGGACCUGCUUCACAAUGAGCUGGAGGGUCAGAAAGAAAAAAAUCUCCCUGAGGGGAACAUGGAGUUCUCCUCUGUUAUCCUUCUGCUCUGUGCAUGUUCAGAUCUGUGCAAAAGUUUCACAGAUCUAUGAUUUCCUUCCAGACUUUCUGGGAAAGUCAUAGAAGAAGCCAGAGUCUUCUCCUGCUUCUUAUCUGCUGCCUACAAGAGCAAAUGUACAGCAGAGAGUGACAGCAUGCCGGGCUCCACUGCUGGUAAUACGCUCGCUUUAAUCAUCCUCGUGCAUGUACGACACGUCGGCUUUGAUGUUCCAUUAAAACGGACAAGUUGGUGAAGGUUGGAGCGGAUCUAAAUUUAUUCGGUCCAUAGGAGUCGCAUUCUGCUCGCCUCUUCACUUGCACUUGAGCAUAGAGCGAGUGGCCAUUCAUCAAAUGAAGAAAGAGGCCGGGAAGAUGAAUUUAUCAGUGGAAGCUAAAAUUUUGCUAAGUGGACAACAACAUCUCUACAAAGAGCUGCAGCUGACCGCACUCAGGACUUCUCUUCCUGAAUGGCUCGCUCUGAGAGAAGUGGAUGCAGAGGCAGGCAGCUGAUGACGGCGAACAGCAGGAGGAGGUAACAGGCCGAACCCGUACCUGGAGAGCAAACGAUGCAAACCAGAGGAGAGGCUGAUGAGUCAGAGCGAGGGGGAUGUGCUGUGCUGGGUUUCAGAGGCCCGAGUGAAAUCAGAGUAUUACCAUUUCAUCGCUCCCGCAUUAAAGACUGAUUCAGACAUGCUAGCAUUUUGAUGAUGGGAGCAAAGCAACAAAAAAUAUCCAUGGAUGAUGGUUUGUGGAGCUUGUGAAAACCUCACAGUUCGGAUAAGAAUAACUCUCAGGGUGAGUUUUCCAUUUUUGGUGAUGUAUACUAAUGGUGAAAAAAAGUAUGCUGCGGUGAAUUAGAUGUUAAGUUCACCUUCUGUCUUGAAAUACGGCCUAUAUAAAUAACUAGAUAUAUUUUCAUAAACCAGCCCCUAAUUACACAGGUUACAGUUAAAGUUUCAGUGAACAUCCCCUUUAAAAUGCCAGAUUUGUGUGACACAAAACCUCACACCAUGAUACUGCGACUACCACACUUCACUAAAUGCGAUGCUAUUUUUCGUGUCAAGUUUUUGUAAAUGUUUUCUUGAGAAGGAAGAUGUCAAACUUCUCAUUCUCGUCAUACGGGGAAUACUGAAUAUCACAUCUUCCUGCAGCCUCCUGUCAAAUAUAAAAUGCUUUGGAUGUUUUUUUGUAAUCUUCUCCUGACUGAAAUCUUUGCAGAAGGAAAAAAUAUAUGCACAAAUGUGUAAUUACCUAUUUUUAUUUGCUUGAAAUUCACAGUAAAAUUCACAGCUUGUAUAUUUGAUAUUUUUCUUUCUCUCAAGAAGCUAAUUUCUCCCCAGCAUUUUUAGAAAGCACCCAAAGCUUCAUUUGAAUCACCUGAGAUCCAACUGGAUCAGCUGCCAGCAAAAUAAAAAUAAGUAAAUAUAAAACAAACAAAAAAAGCCGGAGCCAUCCGAGUAUGGCGCCUUUUGUUGUUUUUGACUGGGCAAAGCAACAAAUACAAGCUGAAAUUUCAUCAGCGGAGAGGCAGGAGCUCCAUCUCAGCUCGCCACAAAGUAAUACUUGUUUCAACAUCCAGUAAUUACAAUCUCAGAUAUCCUCUAAUCCCGUUAGCUGCAUGCCGCAGCGAAAGCCUCAAUCUGUUUGAUAGAAGCGAGCUUUAACCUGCCAGACCAAUCACUUGAAAAUCUGGACGUAUUAUUGUGACAAAAGCAACAAAAACUCAGCAGAGAAAAAGUUGAGCGGUUUGCCGACACCAACGCUCUGUCAUCUGUGAACAUGAAGCGUCUGAUUGGCUAAGAGUUAACCUGCUAUUGGGUGAAAUUGAAAAUACUAUUAUUGGUUUAUUAGCUCUUAGCUAUAAAUAAACCAAUAAUUUAAUAAGUAGAAGCAAACUAGCAUAAAAUCCUUAGCUUACCUUAUGUGUUAGCUCUUCAUUAUAGGGUGUCUUCAUGUCCUCCAUGUCAAUCACAGAUGAUCCAGACAGGUUGUCCAUUGUCUCCUGUGUCUCUGUCUCACACAAAUCAGAUCUCUGCUCAGAAACAGGCAAACUCAACCCAGAGACCUUCCACUCUUCACUCCUUUUAAGUCGAGUUUACAGCCCGCUGUCCCCAACACCUGGCCCUCCUCCUCCGCAGGUCUCCAUUUUCUCCAUGUGGUUCACAUCCGGUGCACAGAGGGGAAAACUGCCUUGAACUUUGCACUUGAACCGGAAAACACUUCAAAUAUUUAUACGGGGAAGCUCAGAAGUGUUGCUUACAGUAUUUAUGAAGGAAGGAAGCUUCAGCACCCUGGAGGGCGUUUACAUCCUUUAUAUAAUCCAAAACUAUUCAUUCUUGACUUUUUAUCAUAUUUUGUCACAUUAAAUUGUGAUGUCUGUGGAUUGCAUCAAAAAUAGCUAGAGCACAACUGUGAAGAUGAAGGAAAAUCAUUCAUUCAUAGAUCGCCUGUGGUGACAGCGAGCAGAUCACCACAAACACACCAUGAAAGGCUGAAGAGACGUUUUCCUCUCAGCAGGGGCAGAGAUGGUGGAUGAAGCAACAGGCAGGGGAAUGCAGGACCUACAGCAACUCUACACACACACAACCUGGUGAGAUAUAAAAGAAUAGUUCAGGUCAAAUAUUCAGGUGUUAGAUUGAUCACUUGGCUAGUCUGCGAAGAGGAACGGGCAAAAAUGACAGUCUCUAUAUGUGCAAAGCUGUUAAGUGUAAUUGUAGAACCAAGUUAAUUUUCAAAGUAUGCUCUCAGGGAGCUGAACUGAAAUGCACGCCACACUUUUCAGAUUCUUUAGUUAAACAAAACAUUUGAAAUUUACGAAUCAAGCUAGCAACGGUAUUUUAGCAUCUGGUCACCGGUAGCAUCAACUGCUUGAAGUCACAGAACGCAAUGAAGGCAUCUGCAAGCGACAGAAAAGUCCCAUAAGAAAAAAGACUAACGACUAAAUAAUCAUGAAACAACAUUUAAGACUUGUGAUUAACGCAUUUUAGGCCAGUAUAAAUACAUCUUUUUAAUGAAUUUAAGAUAUUUUAAGGCCUGAAUUUUAGAUGUAUACAUUUAAGACCUUUUAAGGGUGUGCGACAUCAUGGCAGCAUUUUGUCUGUUGCAUAAAAUCCCAAUAAAAAUACAUUGCAUCUCACGUUUUAUAAUUUUAAAUUCAUUGAGGAUUCAGAAGGACUUAAUGUGCGCAAAACUCUGCUCCUAGCAAAGACAACUCCCGUUCAAAGUGAGCUGUUUUAUAAACACUAGAUUAAAUCCAGACAUGCUUCAAGGUACAAACAAGUAUAACAACAAAAGCUGGAAUAUAGUCAUCUAUUUAUUGAGUUUUCAGUGAGACUGUCUGAUCUUCUCCACAGCAGCGACAGGCUCCUGUUCCCUACAGAUCGGAGCGACGGAGCCGAGGAUGAGUCACCGUCCGGGCUGCUCCCGACUAUCACAACAGCACGGACAGAAAUCUCAACCUCCCAAAACCCAGAGGAGCCGCGUCAUGCGACACCGAACAGGUGGACUGUCGAAUGCAACACAAUUAGAGAGCAGUUUUAACAGCUCAGGGAGCCAAGAGACGAACAGACAGCAUACAGCUUCCCUCCAACUGGAUAGAAAAAUAACAUUUACAAAGAUCCAUUAAUCUGCUUAUUCUCUCAAUAAAACCGGGGCUUCACUGAAGCGACUGUACUGUGCAAGCUACACAAGGUCACUUAAAAACAACGUGCGUGUUGGACGGUCAUUAUUUCAGAACACAAAAAAACAAACAAAAAAAAACUAAAGUAAAAA